rnacentral:rRNA from 1 species
GACGAGGUGGCAAGCGUUGUCCGGAGUUAUUGGGCGUAAAGCGCGCGCAGGCGGUUCGCUAAGUCCAUGGUGAAAGCGCUCGGCUUAACUGAGCGAGUGCCGUGGGGACUGGCGAGCUGGAGGGGAGCAGAGGCGAGUGGAAUUCCGGGUGAGUGGUGAAAUGCGGUAGAGAUCCGGAGGAACACCAGUGGCGAAGGCGGCUCGCUGGGCUUUUCUGGACGCUGAGGCGCGAAAGCGUGGG